UCCUGUGACCAAAAGCGCUCCUGUGCUUUACAGGCCCGUAACUUGAGAACGGAUGUAGCUACUACGGAUCGGCUGCCAGGCCGCGAUAAAGACUGUGUGUUCCAAAGGGAACACCCAUGUGAGUAGGCCAGCGGUCAAGCGAUGAACACAAAGUUAAAAUUACACCUCACCAGAGAGGUUCUGGGAAAUGGACAAUGAGUAGAGAGGAGUCAGGUGUGUGAACACCGAGGAUGAGUGGGAGGAGUCAGUUACUGAAUACCGUUAAACAUUUUAGAAUUUGUUGAAGUUAAAGUUCCCAGUUUCCUGUCAGAGUGAAGAGAAACCUGAGCUGCAGGAUGCUCUGGAGACAGGUGAGGAAGUCAGGUAAACCGUGGGGGAGAGAGAGAGAGAGAGAGAGAGAGAGAGAGAGCGAGAGAGAGAGAGUAUCUGGGACAGUAUGGCAGGAAUGUGCUUUUCAGAGUCUUCAGUUCAGUUCAGUUGUACUAAACUGGUCUUUGUGGGCGGGUCCUUCCUGUCCUCUCAGCAGAGGUGUAGGAAGUACUCAGAUACCUGAGUUGAAUCCACACAAAGUCAGAAUCCAGGUGAGGAGGCCAGAGGUCAGCUGAAGUCCAGCUGAGUCCACCUGAAACCAGGUUUUCAGACUCUGACCCUCAUUCUCACUCUGGCUUUAGUCCAUCUGGAUCCAGAAAUUCCAGAACUGAAGUCUAGGAGCCAGGACUAACUGGCUGUCAGAGGAACGAUCCAAACACUGACAGGGAGGGAGGGAGAGAGGGAGGGAGAGAGGGAGAGAGAUGUUGAUUUUUUUCCGAUGAAUUUCGGAGGAAAAACUCUCGUCUGGAAAAUGAAAUUCCCCUCAAACGUCUGCUGGCUGAAAUCAUUUCCCAACCGUCAGAAAGCUCUCCGGGCGCCUCCCUCCCUUCAUCCUCAACACAAACACUCCUUCCUCCCUCCUUCCUUCCCUCUUGUCUCCUCCCGGGCGUUUGUUUGAUUCCCGCUUUCUGGGCAGGAAGUGUUCCCCCUCAGCUUGAAUCCUGCUUCAGGAGGAGGAGUUCAUCAUCGGAGAGGAAAGAAGAGAAGGAGAAAAGCUAAUCCGUCCCGAGUGUUUCACGGACCCGCUGCAGGUUGAGACGUCCUGACUUUUCUCUCUGCCUCCUGCUCGAUGGUUUAAUUAUUAACCGGCUGCAGAGUUUAAACACACAAAUACGUGCAUUUUAAAGUCAACGUCAAGUAUCGUGAGCCAGACCGUUCAAAGACCGACGGUUGGAAGUUGUGCAGCUGCUUUCACUCUGCAGGCCUUAAUGCUCCAUUCUGAUUUAUUGCACAGAUCAUAGUUUAAAUGUGGCUCAUCUCAGACUGAAGUGUGAACUGUCCGCGGCCUGAAAGUGACAGAACAAUAAAACGACGUCACACGCAGCGCCCUGUCGGUUCGCUCAGACAUGCUAACCUGUCUCAUCUCCUGGUUUCCUCCUGGGGUCACAUUUCUCCUGAUUUAUUUUAUAAAUGUUCACAACUUUCUGUCCUUUUCAUUCCUGUUUCUGACCAACACAUCUGCCCCACAGCGCUCUCUCUCUGGGGCUGGAGACCCGCUGGAUUUUAAGGUGGAAGAAAGGAAAUCUGUGAGCAGAUGGACGAGCAGAAAGACAGUCACAUGUUUAAUUCUGGCUUCUGUGGAGCUUUUUCGUUCACUGAAGUUCCAUCUAGAGCAGAAUUAUGACGACGGUCGCUCGAGAUCUGAUGUCCGGACUGAGAUUAAUGUCAAGAAUCAGACCUGGAUCAGAUUUAGACCACAUUUGAAAGUGGCCCAAAGAUCAGAGUCACUGUGACCUGGGCUGUUCCAUAGAGAGUGUGUGGUUUUCCAGCUGCACAGCAGCGGAGAAGAAAGCGUCCAGAUGGUUGGCUGCCCUCCGCCCUCCCUGGAAGACCUUUUACUACAACACACUAAAGGUUCCACCUCACACUGGACACUCUGUGUGUGACCGCGGACGAUUCAGGACAAAUAAAACAAGAACAAAUAGACUGAAAAACAGUUUUUCUCCAAAAGCCACAACAGCACUAAACACUUCUUGAAUAAGAAUUAGUUACGAAUGGAUCGAAUGGAAAGAUUGUAAAGAAAUCUGAUCUGGGUCACUUUGGCCUGCAGUCUGAACGCAGUCUGAGACGGGACCUGCAGCAGGAAGAUGGAGGAACAGCGCCAACAAAACUAAAGGCAGAACAACAACAGCUCACAUCUGAAGAAAGGAAGGACAGGCCGAGUCUGCAGCGCCCGACGAGCUCAGCGUUAUCACACUGGACCAGGAGGACGGUGUCGCGCCUCAUUAACCCCCAAACUGUUUGUCCUCGUUACCGACAUCAGAUACAACAACAAGCUCCCAACACGCACACUGAUAGUGAUGCUGAAUUAGCAGAAUACGCGAAGGGAAAGUGUGUGUGGAGGAGGAGGAAGGCUGAUGAUGAUGGGAGGAGGAGGUCAGGGCUCUGCAGGAGGUCACGGCAGGAGACAGAGUGUGGGAACAGGACACACACACACACACUCAGAGGUGUGAAGUCUGGUUUGUGGUUUUCAGGGGGCGUUCAGGUGCUGUAGGUGAUUGUAGCUGUUAGUUUUGACACUUUUUUUAUGUGUGUGUGUUUCUUCAGUCGCUGCUCUCACCCACCUGCUGGGAGACACACUACUACUACUACUACUACUACUAUUACUAUUACUACUACUACUACUACUACAGCAGAUCUUACUGCAAGCAUCUUUACAGGAGGAAGUACAUUAAGAUCUACGGUUGCUCUGUAUGUGCUGCUCAUUUUACACGAGAUUUUUAUUCUUUUUAUGGAAUGUUUAUUUCAGCGUGAGAGUCCUGAUGCAGCUGUGCAGAGGAGAUGUGGAGCAUUAAAAGGGUUGCAGACAGAACACCACCAAAUCGGGUCAGGCCGAGAACAGAGACACUAAACUCGUUUGUUUACCUUCCGGCUGCAGCAGAAAGCAGGAAGUCGUUCUUCAUGUGAUCUGAGACAGAGGGCCUUUCCGAAACUGCUUGCUCCUCCCUCUCCCUGCCUACUUCCACUCCGUUUGUGCGUUCAUGCGGAGGGUCCUCCACACCACUCUUGUCUGAUAGACAAUAAAAAUGUUGUUUUAAUUGAA